CACGUAGGGCGCAAGCGUUGUCCGGAAUUAUUGGGCGUAAAGAGCUCGUAGGCGGUCUGUUGCGUCCGCUGUGAAAACUCGGGGCUUAACCCCGAGCCUGCAGUGGAUACGGGCAGACUAGAGGUAGGUAGGGGAGAAUGGAAUUCCCGGUGUAGCGGUGAAAUGCGCAGAUAUCGGGAGGAACACCGGUGGCGAAGGCGGUUCUCUGGGCCUACCUGACGCUGAGGAGCGAAAGCGUGGGGAGCGAACAGGG
rnacentral:rRNA from 1 species